rnacentral:lncRNA from 1 species
GUCAAUAGGCUUUCCGCCGAUGCCUUACUCGUGCAUCACUAGACGUCCGUAGACCUAAAAAGCAGGUUUUUCCUACUGUAUAAUCGAAAAAGACGUGAAAGUUAAUAUUAUGCUUAUGUAGGGUGAAAUCCAAAAAAUCUACAUACAGCUAGUACAACGGAAAAUAGAAUAUUGAGGUAUUGACUAAUGUAUUUUGUUAUCAGUUUCAUCGUUGACAUCAUGGUCUAGUGGUAAACACCGAGGCCAUCAUGAGCGAAAGUUGUGGAC